rnacentral:rRNA from 1 species
AUUAAACGCUGGCGGCAUGCCUUACACAUGCAAGUCGAACGGCAGCACGGGGGCAACCCUGGUGGCGAGUGGCGGACGGGUGAGUAAUACAUCGGAACGUACCCUGGAGUGGGGGAUAACGUAGCGAAAGUUACGCUAAUACCGCAUAUUCUGUGAGCAGGAAAGCAGGGGAUCGCAAGACCUUGCGCUCUGGGAGCGGCCGAUGUCGGAUUAGCUAGUUGGUGGGGUAAAGGCCUACCAAGGCGACGAUCCGUAGCGGGUCUGAGAGGAUGAUCCGCCACACUGGGACUGAGACACGGCCCAGACUCCUACGGGAGGCAGCAGUGGGGAAUUUUGGACAAUGGGCGAAAGCCUGAUCCAGCCAUGCCGCGUGAGUGAAGAAGGCCUUCGGGUUGUAAAGCUCUUUCGGCGGGGAAGAAAUUGCUUGGGUUAAUACCCUGAGUAGAUGACGGUACCCGAAUAAGAAGCACCGGCUAACUACGUG